CGGGAUGUAGUUCAGUUGGUAGAACGCACGUCUGGGGGGCGUGAGGCCGGCGGUUCAAGUCCGCCCAUUCCGACCA
rnacentral:tRNA from 1 species